rnacentral:rRNA from 1 species
CAAAUGACUCUCGGCAAUGGAUAUCUCGGCUCUUGCAUCGAUGAAGAACGUAGUGAAAUGCGAUACUUGGUGUGAAUUGCAGAAUCUCAUGAACCAUUGAGUCUUUGAACGCAAGUUGUGCCCGAGGCCUUGUGGUCGAGGGCACGCCUGCUUGGGCGUCAUGA